GACGAACCGUACGAACGUUAUUCGGAAUCACUGGGCUUAAAGGGUGCGUAGGCUGCGCAGCAAGUUGGGUGUGAAAUCCCUCGCUUAACCGAGGAACUGCGCCCAAAACUGCUGUGCUCGAGGGAGAUAGAGGUGAGCGGAACUUAGGGUGGAGCGGUGAAAUGCGUUGAUAUCCUAAGGAACACCGGUGGCGAAAGCGGCUCACUGGAUCUCUUCUGACGCUGAGGCACGGAAAGCUAGGGUAGCGAACGGG
rnacentral:rRNA from 1 species